rnacentral:rRNA from 1 species
GACGAACGCUGGCGGCGUGCCUAAUACAUGCAAGUAGAACGCUGAAGCGAGGAGCUUGCUCUUCUUGGAUGAGUUGCGAACGGGUGAGUAACGCGUAGGUAACCUGCCUUGUAGCGGGGGAUAACUAUUGGAAACGAUAGCUAAUACCGCAUAACAAUGGAUGACACAUGUCAUUUAUUUGAAAGGGGCAAUUGCUCCACUACAAGAUGGACCUGCGUUGUAUUAGCUAGUAGGUGAGGUAAUGGCUCACCUAGGCGACGAUACAUAGCCGACCUGAGAGGGUGAUCGGCCACACUGGGACUGAGACACGGCCCAGACUCCUACGGGAGGCAGCAGUAGGGAAUCUUCGGCAAUGGGGGCAACCCUGACCGAGCAACGCCGCGUGAGUGAAGAAGGUUUUCGGAUCGUAAAGCUCUGUUGUAAGUCAAGAACGGGUGUGAGAGUGGAAAGUUCACACUGUGACGGUAGCUUACCGGAAAGGGACGGCUAACUACGUG